rnacentral:rRNA from 1 species
UUGACGGGGGCCCGCACAAGCGGUGGAGCAUGUGGUUUAAUUCGAAGCAACGCGAAGAACCUUACCAGGUCUUGACAUCCUUUGACCACUCUAGAGAUAGAGCUUCCCCUUCGGGGGCAAAGUGACAGGUGGUGCAUGGUUGUCGUCAGCUCGUGUCGUGAGAUGUUGGGUUAAGUCCCGCAACGAGCGCAACCCUUAUUGUUAGUUGCCAUCAUUCAGUUGGGCACUCUAGCAAGACUGCCGGUGACAAACCGGAGGAAGGUGGGGAUGACGUCAAAUCAUCAUGCCCCUUAUGACCUGGGCUACACACGUGCUACAAUGGGAAGUACAACGAGUUGCGAAGUCGCGAGGCUAAGCUAAUCUCUUAAAGCUUCUCUCAGUUCGGAUUGCAGGCUGCAACUCGCCUGCAUGAAGCCGGAAUCGCUAGUAAUCGCGGAUCAGCACGCCGCGGUGAAUACGUUCCCGGGCCUUGUACACACCGCCCGUCACACCACGAGAGUUUGUAACACCCGAAGUCGGUGAGGUAACCUUUUGGAGCCAGCCGCCUAAGGUGGGAUAGAUGAUUGGGGUGAAGUCGUAACAAGGUAGCCGUAUCGGAAGGUGCGGCUG